GAAGGACCUGCAGACCUGCAUCCUGCCCCUCCCUGGCGCUGGCGGCGGCAUCAAGCGGUAUGUGCUCCGCUCGGGUUCGGCGACUGUGUCGAUAGCGACUGCCUCGCCCUGCAAGGUAAACCGAACUGUUCUAUCUCCAAAGAGCUACUGCUCAAAAUAAUUUUUGGCUGUUCGAACUGAUUUCUGCUUAUGAGUUGACUCAUGAACUGAAUUGCGUAAUUUGCUUCGGAUUAAUUGGCACUUGGAGUUCAAACUGGGAAUUGUGUUGUUUCAAAUUGGCACUGUCCAUUUUUAGCCCCGUUUUGUUCUGAAUGCAAUUACUUUGAUGGACUAGGAGAUAUUGCGGUGUUAAAAAAUUGUAAGUCCGUAGGAAUAGAGGUACCUGUUGAGAUGUGCCACUGCAUCAAUACUCACUGUAUGUUCCAAGCUAUUGAUUUGUUAAGUUUGUUUCUGUCAUUUAGAUUGAGUGGCCUACCUGUUUAUGUUGAUGAAUUUGCAUGUUAACACAAACAGUUCGGCUCUACACCAAAGAGACGUAACUUUGUUGACACUGAACAAUCUUUAUUAACUGAAACUCAUACUCCUAUAUAGUUUCGGGUAAAACAACAGAAAUGGCUAACCCUCUAAAAGCUGAGUGUCAAACAACAGAAAUAACUAACCGGCAAGCAUUAUUAUGCAUAGGUUGGUUCUCUUACUUGGGAAAUUCUACCAAGUGGUAGUAAAUUAGUAUUAAUGAUUUCACCUGCUCGAGUCAUCUCUUAUCUCAGGUAUUCUCCCAAAAUCCAUCCAUGAAAAUUUUGUCGAUAGUGGGGCUGAUAAGAAAAAUAAAAAUAGUUCUUUCGUCAUCGGCCUCUUGCGGCCCCAUUUUGCAUGUGCGUUAGGUCUCGGCGUUCAAGGCACGUUUCUAACUAUGUGAGCCAAUUGUCUCGCCGCUACUUCUGUUUGUUGUCCAGACAUUCUCUCUUGGCUAAAGCAUGCCGGUUUAGCUUCCAAUUUUGCUGUUGAUAUGGAUGUUUGAAGGCUUGCAAUUCAUCUUGGACUUAUUGGAUAUCUUUGUUAUUUUCUGCAGGUGCUCCUGGUUAUGGUGAUUCUACAUAAUGAUCUUAGGAUCUGUUUUCAGACUGUUCUUCUUUAGGUUCAGGUCCGAAAUCGGGAGUCUGUACAUGCAUCUUAUGCUGGAUAUAUUCUGCAGCUCUGCUUAUGGAUUCUCAGUUUCCAGGUUGUUCCAUGUGUUGUCCAUUUAUAAUUUGGCAUCGGCUGCUGUUUCAUAUGGUUGACACGUAUGAUACCAGUAGAUAAGAUACUUGAUAGUGAUGUGUGGCAGAUUGUUGCGCCCCCUUUCUGUCAUCAAUAUCAUGUUGCUGCUGCUUCUGCUCCAAUGGCUGCAGCCCAGACUCGCCUACAAAGCAGAAAGAUCCCGAUCUUUCAUUUGAGAUGAUCAUCAUCUCUGAAGCAUGAAGAAACAUCCAAGAAAUUUUACAUAUCUUGACAGUUUUGCAAUGUUGCGUACAAUGCGCAACAGUUUGGAGCUCUAGCAGCACACAUUGGAGAUGAUGCUCUUCUUUCAGGGUACUUAUCUAACAUCACAUAUGAUUUAUCAUCUAUUUCAUUUCCAUCCUUCGAUUACUGCAUACUCUAUUUUGUUCCCAUUUCUGACCGGUUCUCUUCAUCA